rnacentral:lncRNA from 1 species
UAAAGGUGACAAAGAUGAACCUUGGAGAGAGUCUGUUGGGGAAGGUUGUUCUGUAGACCAUGUUCCAUCGAAGGGCAUGAUAAAAAACCCAAUAGAUGCCACCCCACACUUCUGCAACAAACAAACCAAGCCAAGCCCAUUGGCCAGCUUCUCCUUUUGCAGGUAUGUGAGUGAGUCUGAAUGCCCAGACAAAGCAUAUGGCAACAAACAAAGAGACAGCAUAGAGCCUCCGAAUGUGCCUUGCUUUGUCUUUCCUUGUUUCAAACAAAGAGUUCUCUUCACCACUCCCCAUUCUGCCUUCUAACUCACUCCUCUCUCUUCUUGCUCUCUGCAUCCUCAGUUCACUUUCUUAUAUAGCUACAAAAAAUGAUUAUGAUAUUCCACGAGUUUCAAUAUAAUAUUCUGUUAACUUGAAUGUUUUUUGAAAAUAUAAAAUUGGCUCUGAUCGUUCGUUAGCAAGGCAUGAGUAGAUAGGGAAGUGAUAAUUUUGGAAUGGUAGGUAACGAUCCAUGAACAUCACACGCCAUUUUGGAAGGGUAACUGGUCCAUGAGCUACUCAUGUCAUUUUGGAAUCAUAGAUAACCCAGAAAUUUUAUACUAUUAUUUUAAUAUUUUUUCAUAUCAUUUAAUUAUAAAUUUAUCCUUUAUUAUAUAUAUUUAUUUCUAAAUUCAUAUAUAACUCUUAAUUUUCAAACCAUCAUUUUCCAUCCACAAAUUACCACUAGUAUAUGCUACACUGACUUUACCACCAAGACUUCAAAGCAAGUGACGAGUGCGCUGACGAAACCAGACCAAUAUUCACAUGCUAAACUUUGAUCAUAUCAUAACUAUUUUGUUUUCUUAACACAACUUAUUUAACUUAAUUGAUGUUUCGAAACAAAUGUAUAUGUGAUUGAUUUUAUAGUUAGUUUAGUAAUUUUAUUUAUGUGGGUAGGAUUAAAUCAGUAAUGAUACCAAAUAAGAACAUAGAGCAGAAAAGGAGCGUAUAGAUGGAAAGUUCCUUUUGUGUAGUCGCCGUCCACCACCACAGACUCAUAAAAUUCAUUUAAUGGGUGUCACUCUCCAACAUACCCAGCAAAUAUAAGAACCACUCAAAACAUAUUAGGAUUAUGUUUCUAAAAAUAGAAAAAAUGAUGUGGUGAGUAUGAUUUUGGGAGAAUAUGUUAGCAUCCUCCAAUAACGAUUCAAGUAUUUUUUCCACCCUCCAAUUAUGAGUUUCAAUUGUAAGGUUAGAACUGAGAGAGAUAUGUUGUUUUGGAUAGACUCAGUAGUCUUGAAAUAUAGAUUCUCGAUAUUCUUCUCUUGGUCUAUUGUUAAGAAGGCAAUUGUGGAAAAUGAGUUAAUGGGGUUUGGGAGUGGAACUUAAUUUGGAGAAUGAGUCUUUUUGUUUGGGAGGAGGAGCAAGUAAGCCAGCUUUUAGAGAUGAUUUUCAAUAAGAGGCCUGAGUUGGAGACCGCUGACAAAUGGGUUUGGAAGGAUAGCGAGUCUGCAGUGUUUUCAGUCAUGUUUGCUUAUGAUUUAUUAAGGGGAGAGGGAAACGAGGAAGAUUCGAGAAUGUACAAUUUCUUUUGGAGGAUUAAGACGCUUCCUUCAGCUCAUGUCACAACUUGGAGAAUGAUUGAAAACAAGGUUGCUUCUGAGGUAAAUUUGAAGAGACAAGGGAUAGGGGUAGAGAGCAACCUUUGUUGUUUGUGCAGGGUGUCAGAGGAGUCAACAAAUCAUUUGUUCUUUGGAUGCAGAGUUGUUUGGCUAGUUUGGAAUGUUACAAAUGGUUAAGAGCGAGUUCGGUUGAUCUUCUUGCUCUUGGUCCCCAUUUCGAACAAUUCAAAAUUAUGGAUGCGUCUUCUUUGGUCAAUCUUAUUAUGGGUAAUGUUUGGAUCGCAUUGGUUAGCGAGAUUUGGAGACAUAGGAAUAAUUGUUUAUUUAGAGGUGGAGUGGUUGAUCAUACUGAAAUUUUUUCCCUGACACAAGUUAAGGUUUGGUUUUGGAUCUCUUCAAAGGUACAGUAAGUAAGUUUCUCAUUUUAUGACUGGUGCUUUGAACCCCUGGUCGAUUUAAUGUUACUAUAAGGGUGGAGGGGUUGGUCCUAGAUCUUUCUAUUUCUCUUUAGUUGGUAGUGUUGGAGUAGAGAAUAGGAGGUUCCAUUAUGGAUUUUGAUGUGUAUGUGAAAAGGUGCUAUUUGUUCUCUUACUUUGUAUGAGGGUUAGACCAUCCCUUAAGUGAGUCAUUUUAAUUUUAUUGUUUCUUGCUGAUAAAAAAAACCCCUCCAAUAACGAUGAUUACACUUUAUAAUAAUCGUACUCGUAUGUAAAACUACAAUAAAUUGUUAUCGAAUUUUUAGAUAUUUAAGGAUUGAAUAUGUUUUUGGUAUCUGUAUUAUAAUAUAAAAUUGAUUUUUAUUUUUUGUCCAAAUUUUAGGACAUAUGAGUAUUUGUAGUACGUAAAUAAUUAAAAUGAAUCUUUUUAUAUGUGGAAUUGAUUCAAUUUGAGUUUUACUUGAUCAAAACAUUGUAAGUAGUUAUAGUGGACAUCAACCAUUAAAACAACAAUGAAUUUAUUAUUGAUGGUGCUAUAACUAUUUCCAAUAGGUUGAUGAAGUGAAAUCUCAAAUUGAAUCAAUUUUAUAUACAGAAAAAUUUAUUUUAAUCAUUUUCAUACUAAAUAUAUAGAUGAUAGUUUAAAUGAAGGACGAAAUCAUAUUUCAUAUUAUAGAGUACCAAAAACAUAUUUUAACUUUUUUUUAAAUAUUAAUAAUGAUUCUAUAAUUAUUUUUAAAAAUUAAUUUAACUAUUAUUAAAGUUGUAUUUGCAAUAUAAACCAGUGUAACAGGUAAGAAUUCUAGAUUUUUUUUUAAUUUAUCUUUUAAAUGGAUGAAGCUAUAUUAAGAUGAAAGUACAAUAGGAAAAUGACGCAAAUGAAAAUAAAGGGCAAAUAUCACCAGACGUGAAAGUAAAGUGUUACCGAAUUAUAAAUUUAUUCUUUUAUCUUUCUAUUUAUAUUGAUUUGAUCUUUUAUUUUUGAAAUAAUUAUUUUCAUAUCAAUAUAUAUUAAGUAUUAAAAUAAAUAAAUAUUGAAUCGUUUUAGCUGACAACAAGUCUCUAGAUUAAAAUAUGAUAACAAAACUAUAAUCACAUAAAUAUACAUUAAAAUAAAAAACAACUAUAUAUAUAAAUGGCAUAAUAAUUUAAAAUUAUAUUAGAAAUAACAUAAGCGCCUUAAACAGUAAUAAAUAUGUUUAAAUUAUUAAGGACCAUUCUGUUAUUGCAUUAUUAUGCCAAGGACCAUUCUGUUAUUGCAUUAUUAUACUAAGGACCAUUAUGUUAUUGCAUUAUAAUGGUAAUGAAGAGAGUGGUCAUUACAUGAAAUUGCAGAAGCCUAGUUUGUGUUUUAAAGACUAUUUUCAUUUUAAAGUUAUGUUUCUCAUUUUAGCUAAUUUCUAUUUUUUAUUAAUUAAAAAAUUGUUGGACUUUCUAGUAAUAUUACAUAAAUAUAUUUUUUUUUCUUAAUAGUUUGUAUUUUUUUUAAAUGCUACUUCAUACUGGCUUUCUUAAAAUAUCAGUUUCUAAAGUUUAGCCGUCUAUGAGGCAGGCUCAGACACUUCUUUUAAAUGGCGUAUCAGUGUCGACACUCGUAGGACACUUAUUAGUGAAGGUGUUCAAUUCAAAAAAUAUUUGUUGGAUUUUUGAAAAUUUUAGCACGAUUCUAACACAAUUUUAAAAGGUAUAAAUAUAAUAAUUUUCUAAAAAUUCAAAUUUAUUAUAUAAAUUUUUAUUAUGAUUAUAAAAAUAAGGAACAAAUUCUUUUGAACCAAUCAUGAAAAAUAUCUUCAUGCUCCCAAAAGAAUCUCAAACAUACUUUUGCACAUAAAUAUUUAUUUUUAAUUUAUAUAAUUCAAAAUUAUAUAAAAUAUAGAUCCGUGUCCCCGUGUCAUACAUUUUAAAAAUUAUACGUAUCUCCGUAUCCGUAUCGUGUCAGUGUCCGUAUCUAUAUCUGUGUUACAUACUUAACAGUGAAUUUGAAAAUGGAUAAAGAGAACCACCUAACAAAAAUAGGACUAGACAAAAAUAACCCUCAAAUUAGUUAAAAUUGAUAUAUUUAUAAAUAUGCUAAACAAUUCUGGAGCUAACUCAAAAAAAAAAUACACUAUUUCGUUUUCAUCUUAAUUAUUAUAUUAAAGAGUAUUGAAUUUGGAGUGAUUUAAGAGAAAAUACUAAAUAAAUUAAAGUUAUUUGAAUUAAAAUAUGUUUGAGUAGAUUAGUGUGAACAAAUUUAUUAAAGUUUGACAUAAAGAAUUGUUUUGAUUUCUCUUUAUAACCUUUUUAAUUUUUUACAUUAAUAAGAGAAAAGAUAUUUAGUUCUUGCUUUUCUAUCCGAUUCAAUUGGAUUCAAACUUAGCAUAUACUAGAAAUAAACUACAAAAAUUAAAAUAUAAAAACUAUUUCAAAUGUAAAUACAUAAGAAAAACCAAUAUUGUAUUUUUUUUAAAUCUCAGAUAAUAUUUCUUACUUCUUGUAUUUAUACAUUUACUUGCGUUUGGUUGUUCUCAUUCAUCCAAACGAGAUAUAUCAUAAUCAUCUUUACUAUUAAAUUUUUCACAUCUUUUACUAUAAGAAAAUUAUUGAAUAGAAAUAAAUUUUAUAGAAAAAAAUAAUUAGUUGUUACAGUGAUUAAAUUAGAUAUUAUUUUAGAGAAUAACAAAAUUAUUGGUUUCUAAAUUAGUUUCUAUUAGUGAUAAAUAGUUUAUUAAAUUGGUAUCUAAUUAGCUACUAAGGUUUUUUUUACAAAAUUUAGAAUUUAAAUAAUUGGAAAUUCAAAUUAACCUAUAGUGUAAUUAACCUCUAGCACAACUUAGGAUGAAUGUUUAAAUUAAUAACAAAAGUAAUAAUAAUGCCAUGUAUUGAGAAUAUUUCUUUCCAUUAUUUCAAAUUAAUAGUAUGACAAUAAGUACAUAUUUUUCGAUGGAAAGACAAAGAUACUUGCAUAGAAUAAUAGAUAAAAUAAUGAAAGCAAAAUGUCUUUUCUUAUUAGAGGAUAAAACAGAAGACUGCAUAAAUUUACUCAAUUGAAUAGUUUGAAGAACACACAUGCAGUGAAAGCCACUGCAGUAGACUUGAUAGAAACAGAAGUUGGCAUUCUACCCUUAUCCUUCCUCACAAAAAUGGCUUGGUAUAAGGGAAUAUUGAUGACAACUAAAACUCCACACAAAAGAACUUGUAAUGUCAUUUUCUCAGCAGCAAAGGUACCUUUUUGAAGGACCAAAUCCUUUAAAGUUAGAAGCAAGCAAAACAAAUUGAGUAAUGCAAGUGUUGCUAGAACAGUGAAAUAAGGAGAAGAUGUUCCAAAUUCCAUGACCUCUUUCUUGUAACGUUGAGCAACAUCAUCAUCAAUGACCUUUGAUGUGAGUGAAUAUGAUGAAUUUGGAUGUCCAAAGAAUCCUAGGAUGCCGUCUAUUAAGGAAAAAAGAAAGGAACUUGUUUUCACGUACAACCACAUUCUUGUACCAUUCCACCAACCUUGGAUUGAUCCUCCCAUACUCAAACCCUCAAUCAAACUAUAAGCAAUUUCCCCAACAGUUACACAUAUGAAAGGUAUACACCAUAAGCUAGAAAUCUGUUGAUCCAAUAGAUAAAGCACAAAAUGUUAACAACAUUAAAGAAUCAUAUAAAAGCAUAACAUGUUUAUGAUUUAUGGAUUUAAACCCCAUUAAUUAUACAUGAGCUUAUAUUUAACAGUGAGUAUAAAAUCAAACAAUAAAAGAAGACAACUUUCUAUGUUUCAACUUUUAGCUAAUUAUAAAUUUUGUGUAAUUUACAAUGUGAAUUUGUGUUUGAAAGAGGAAAAUGUUGCAAAACUUGUGAUUAUUUUGUGAGAAAAAGUGAUAUUACCUUUGGAAAGAGGGAAACACCCUUAAGGAUAUAAAGUGAAGGGAUGAUGGAGUAAUAUAAUACUGACAAGGAAGUGAUGGCAAAGAAGUUGUGGUGCCAAUAUCCCAAUAGUAGGCAUAUGUUGAUCUUUUGAUCACCAUACCAUUUAGGUCUGAACUUAGAAAGUGUAAGUUGCAUAUGACCUUCACCCCAUCUCUUUAGUUGAACUAGUGUGUGAAGUAAGCUAGUUGGAGCAACACCAGAAAAAGCACUUAUUGAUGGGUUGUAGUAUACUGAUUUCCAUCCAUGUGCAUGCAUCUGCAACCCUGUUAUCACAUCUUCCACAAGACAGCCAUAUAUUGAACCAAUCUACAACAAAAUAAAUCAUUUAUUGUACUUUAAUAAUACUCAAGUAUUAUUAUUGACUAUGAUUAUGAAUGUGACUAUGAAAGUGUAAAAGAGAUUAGUAAAUCACUUUUUUUCCCCAUAAGGUAUUUUUCUCAUAACUGCAAUUUGCUAAAGCUUUCGAUUCUUCUUCGAGUUCAUGCAAGUUUACUUCAGUCACCUCAUUCUCAUUCUGAUCAUUCCAAUCAUUUUUGUAUUCACGACUAAACUUCUUCCACCAGAGAGCAUCUCUUCUAAGAUAGCAACAAGUUCCAAUAAAAAGUGGGCCACCAAAACCAUCAAAACCAUGGAGUUCUACCUUCAAAGUGAUCAAUAAAGUGUGAAAUUAUUUUUAGAGAAAUUUAUCCGUCUUCAUCAUAAUAGCAAUGCUAUCUAUGCCUAAAGUAAGAAAAUUACUACAAAUAUAUUUUCACCAAAAUUAUGUACAUUUAAGAAAGACACAUAUUAUCUUUUAGAUAAAAAAACAAAUAGCAAUACAUAUAGAUGAAAAUACUAACCAUUUUUUUUAUUACAUCGACAAUUUAACUAACUCACCUGCACAAUAUCUGAUAUAGCAUUCGCGUAAAGAUCAUUCUUUCCAAUAUUAUGAAAACAUUGUGGAAAUUGCACGUAAGCAAUUUCUUGACCUUUAUCUUCAUCCAUGAAAAAACACAGAGCAUCUUUCACUGAUUUUGAAUGGGUGGAGUACAUGUCACAAUCCAGAAAUAGAAUGAUUUUCCCAUUACUAAUCGUUGAAGACACUCUUAACUACAUUAAGAUAAAGAAAUAUAAUGUCAUACUCAAUGUAUUUGGAUUGAGUAAUGUUUCGUGAAAGAACUGAUAACCUAUAUAGAGAUUUAUAUAAAUAAUAUAUGGUAAUUUAAUUCAACUAAAAUUUGGAAAUUUUGUUGAUGAGAUAUUAGAAGAAUGAGUCGCAAGGUUAUCAAGAGUUGUAUACGUGAUUCUCCAUACAGAUUUUGUUUUAAGAAGUGAAGGGUUGUAAUUAUGGACAGUACCAAUGCAUUUAUAGCUCCAGCUUUGAAGUUGGUGUGAUAGUGAGGUCUCUUUUCACGAGCCAUAUACACUAAGGUUGGCAAAGUACACCCAUCUACGUCCUUUGACCCUUCUGACUCCUUUUUAUGCAUCAAAAUCUGUUAACACAAUCAAACAUGCAUCAAACUUUCUGCACAUUUCAAACACAUACUUUUACAAAACAAAAAGUUUAGAAAUUUAUGUACUUGAAGGAUAGUAUCGUGAUCACGUGGAGAGGAAUACGAAUCCCAUUGGGAAAAACCAUUAUGCUUUGACCGUGCUUCACUGGGUACACCCAACUUUGUUGCUUCUUCUACUCUCCUUUUCAUUUCUUCGUAUAAUUUCUACACAUAAAAUGCAACUGAGUCUUCAAAAUACAUGUUGAACAAGUGAAAUGAAAGUGAAAAGAUGAUUAAUAUAGGUGCAUACAUGGAUGGUUGCCAAGUGUUUGACAUAGUUAUGGUCCUGUGAUUUUGUUGAGUCAACACUGUUAAAAUAUGCAGCAGGUGACCUUGGUUCCACCUUAUAUCUCUUGCAGAACGGAAUCCAAUGCUUGGCAAAGGAAGAAGCUUCUAAAAGAGCAUAAAAGGUUACAUCUGAGCCUCCAUCAUCUGAGAGAUACACGCUCAACUUCUCAGCUGCAUAGUCAUAAGCCAUCACAGAUAACACUGUAUUGAUCACCAUCAUCGGUGGCUCCACCACUGCAUCUGCCGUGAACACAAAGAUGUCCACUCCCGGGAACCUACUCUCAUAUCUGCCAAAUUGAAAUUCACACACACAUAAUCCUAAAUCAGUACUUAAGUUGGAACAUCCACGUUUCAAAUGAUCUAGAAGAUGAGUGAAGUAAAGGUGGCAAAGAUGAACCUCGAAGAGAGUCUGUUGGGGAAGGUUGUUCUGUAGACAAUGUUCCAUCGAAGGGCUUGAUAAAAAACCCAAUAGAUACCCCCCCACACUUCUGCAACAAACAAACCAAGCCAAGCCCAUUGGCCAGCUUCUCCUUUUGCAGGUAUGUGAGUGAGUCUGAAUGCCCAGACGAAGCAUAUGGCAACAAACAAAGAGACAGCAUAGAGCCUCCGAAUGUACCUUGCUUUGUCUUUCCUUGUUUCAAACAAUGACUUCUCUUCACCACUCCCCAUUGUGCCUUCUAACUCAC